rnacentral:piRNA from 1 species
UUCUAACUCUAUGUAGUAGAUUACUAUCU